rnacentral:rRNA from 1 species
CCUACGGGAGGCAGCAGGGAGGAAUAUUGGUCAAUGGACGAGAGUCUGAACCAGCCAAGUAGCGUGAAGGAUGACUGCCCUAUGGGUUGUAAACUUCUUUUAUAAAGGAAUAAAACGAGGCACGUGUGCCUUUUUGCAUGUACUUUAUGAAUAAGGAUCGGCUAACUCCGUGCCAGCAGCCGCGGUAAUACGGAGGAUCCGAGCGUUAUCCGGAUUUAUUGGGUUUAAAGGGAGCGUAGAUGGGUUGUUAAGUCAGUUGUGAAAGUUUGCGGCUCAACCGUAAAAUUGCAAUUGAUACUGGCAGUCGUGAGUACAGUUGAGGUAGGCGGAAUUCGUGGUGUAGCGGUGAAAUGCUUAGAUAUCACGAAGAACCCCGAUUGCGAAGGCAGCUUACUAAACUGUGACUGACAUUGAUGCUCGAAAGUGUGGGUAUCAAACAGGAUUAGAUACCCUUGUAGUC